rnacentral:rRNA from 1 species
CCUACGGGAGGCAGCAGUGAGGAAUAUUGGACAAUGGGCGAAAGCCUGAUCCAGCAAUACCGCGUGAGUGAAGAAGGCCUUAGGGUUGUAAAGCUCUUUCAGCAGGGAAAAUAAUGAUGGUACCUGCAAAAGAAGUCCCGGCUAACUCCGUGCCAGCAGCCGCGGUAAUACGGAGGGGACUAGCGUUGUUCGGAUUUACUGGGCGUAAAGGGCGCGUAGGCGGUCUGUUAAGUUAGAAGUGAAAGCCUGGGGCUUAACCCCAGAACUGCUUCUAAAACUGGCAAACUAGAGUACGGGAGAGGAUAGUGGAAUUCCUAGUGUAGAGGUGAAAUUCUUAGAUAUUAGGAGGAACACCGGUGGCGAAAGCGACUAUCUGGAACGUUACUGACGCUGAGGCGCGAAAGCGUGGGGAGCAAACAGGAUUAGAUACCCUGGUAGUCCACGCUGUAAACGAUGAAUGCUAGAUAUCGGAUUUAUUCGGUGUCGAAGAUAACUUGAUAAGANAUCUCGUGGAGUACGUCGCAGAUAAACUUAAAUAGUAUAGACGCGNGAGANCGACGACGACGACGACGAGGAGAG